rnacentral:rRNA from 1 species
AGCAGCCGCGGUAAUUCCAGCUCCAAUAGCGUAUAUUAAAGUUGUUGCAGUUAAAAAGCUCGUAGUUGAAUUUCGGGAUCAAUUAAUUGGUCGUGCCUCUGGUACGUACUGAUUUUAUUGGUUUCUCCCUUCUGACGAACCAUGAUGUCAUUAAUUUGGUGUCGUGGAGAAUCAGGACUGUUACUUUGAAAAAAUUAGAGUGUUUAAAGCAAGCUAACGCUUGAAUACAUUAGCAUGGAAUAAUGAAAUAGGACGUUUGAUCCUAUUUUGUUGGUUUCUAGGAUCGACGUAAUGAUUAAUAGGGAUAGUUGGGGGCAUUAGUAUUCAAUUGUCAGAGGUGAAAUUCUUGGAUUUAUUGAAGACUAACUACUGCGAAAGCAUUUGCCAAGGAUGUUUUCAUUAAUCAAGAACGAAAGUUAGGGGAUCGAAGACGAUCAGAUACCGUCGUAGUCUUAACCAUAAACUAUGCCGAC